rnacentral:lncRNA from 1 species
UUAAGGGAGAAAAGGUCCUUUCUUGCUAAACUACUCACACCUGUUUUGCUAUCCACCUGGAUGGAACUAAAAUGCCAUUCCAGAGGGGUCUCCCCUAAGUGGACGCACGCUCAGCAAGGCAGAGGACCUGUGGCUGGAGAGGAGGUAGGAAUCCGCUUUCUCCUAUUUUCUGGUUCCUGUGACAAACAGCCUGGGCACUGUGUCCUGUGUUUGGGAUGGGGCCCCCUGGCUCUGUCUGGAAGCCAGUGGACAUUAAGGAUCCCUGCGGGGAAGGUUUGUGGGAUCCUCGCUGGACUUGGUCACUGGCCGGGUGCAGGUGGGUGCAUGAGGUCUCAGGAGCCUCAGCAGACCAUGGCUGGGGCCUGAGCCAGUUUCUCCAUCCUUCUUCCAGGGCUCACUUAGCUGGAGUGUGGGAGCUGUGCUUGGCGGGGCAUCACUGGCUGGCUGUCUUGGGGAAGCUCCGCGCGCUCCCUGACCACACAUCACAGGCAAUCGCCCUCCACCCACCUGUGCCCUGGAAUGUGAUCACAGUCACCCAGGGCACGCCCGCACCACAGGGGUCAGCGAUGGACCUGGGAAGCCUUCCAAGGCUGAGCGAGGGCUUCUCCCAUCUUCCCGCAGGGUGUCUUCUUCCGGGGGGAAGUGACAGGGGAAGGGAGGCCAGUCCUUCUGGCCUCAGGGGAACGAGAGGCCAGGGCUAAGCAGUCCCAGGAGGGGCUGUGUAGACAGUGAAGUCAGGGCCGUGUGGUAGCCACCGAGUAUGGACUCCUAACCCAGGGCUUGCUGAGGAUGGGCUUUUCUAGAACAUUUGCGGGGGGUGGGGGUGGUAUCUACAGUCUAUUGGUUCCCUGAUCAUAAGAAAAGAAUGAAAGGGGCAUGCAAUAGGCAAGACCUGCUUGGAUACAGCUUAAAGGGACCCGUUCCUGCCCUCAAAAGUGCCUGUGACGAUGAUGCCCACGGGUUCUCACCUGCCCACCACUCCUCACACCCACGCAAUUACAGGUAAUUUUCCGAGACUCUGGGACCGCGAGGAAGCAGGAAUGCCUGGCACUCUUCCCCUCUAUUGAUGGCCCUGUACCUACCACGACCUGCCAGUCCCCGUUGCCUCUCUAGGAGGCAGGGGUGCACUGGCAGCUGGGCUGUGAAUAUGGGGCUCCCGUUCAGUGAACAAAGGCCACAGAGAACUGCUGGGAGGACGUUUCUGGAGGCAGAUGCUCACCCAGCCUUACCCAUGGACAAGGACAAAUGGAAUGUAAGAAAACAUACAGCCCUUUUUAAAAUUUGUGUAGCAGAUGGGAUUCGAAAAACAUAACUUGAAGUUAAAUUGUUGCUGAAUUCAGGGCAGCUCUCCAAAAGGCUUUUGCCAAAUCAACAGAGCACAGCAGUGCAACUUGCAACUGUAACUGUGCUUUAGGGGGUUGUGGUUUCCUUCCAGCUUCCAUCCACCCUCCCCCAGUGAGUGGCAGCUGCUAGUAGGGUUCUGAACAUGCCAUAGCUGGCUCCCCCCAAAAAGAAAUGUCAGUUGUGCCAAGAGUGAAAAGCCUGCUUCCUGUUCCCUACAAUUCCUAAAACACAUAGCCAUGCUCUUUCUUUAAAGUGCAAAUUGGAUCAUGUCAUUCCAUUGCUUAAAACCUUUCAGUGGUUUGCCAUUAUGCUUAGCAUGAAGAUUAACCAAAACAAAUUCUCAUCUCCUUGAACCUGCAUGACCUGACAUCCACCUUCCUCUUGUAUUCUGUAUUUUAACCAAACUAGUAUUAUUUCUUUUUUUUUCCCCUAAAGGUCAUAAUUCUUCCUACCUCACAGGGUCUUGGAACAUCAUUUUUUUUCUAAUUUUUUUUAUUACUCAAAUGAAUUGAUCACAUCUGUAGUUAUAUAAUGAUCAUAACAAUCCAAUUUUACAGGAUUUCCAUCCCAUUAGAACAUCUUACAAAUCAUUUCCCUCCCUCUUAGCAGCCUCUCCCCCGUUUGCCUGCUCACUGCUGCCCUCUAAUCCUUUAGACCUCAGCUCAAAGGGGACUCCAUCAGAGAACCCUCUCUGACCACCACGCUGUCAGCAGCCUGAGGUGAGAAGCCACGUGGAGAGAGAGACCAGGUCAUCCCAGCUCUCCCAGCCAGCCCAGCCCAGGCCUCAGAUGGAAGUGAGACCUGUCCUGGACACCCAGGGCCUGCUGGGCCCCGAGCUGGCGGCAGGUGGGUGAGUGAGCCCUGGAAGACAGCCACACCCCUCCUCCUCAGCCCACGCAUUCGUGCUAAAUAAUAACUCAGUGCCCUCUGUUUAAGGCCCUUUGUCUUGGGUGGCUUAUGUGUGACAGACAACGGAUUCCUGCUUCCUGGCCUCGUGAGCUGUGCACUAAGGAGGCUCCCUGAGAGGGUGCGGAAUGUCCCCUGACCUCCUGGCUCACCCUGCACAGGACUGUGGGGCAGGACCUGAGUCUCUGGGUCUCUGUCCAUCUGACAGGAUGAUGCUCUGUCCCCAGUAGGUCAGUGCGUGGAGGUGGGGCGACUGUCCCCUUUCCCAUGUCCCCAGCAUGUCCUGUCAGCCUCCCUGGAGCUGCACCUCUGCCCUGAGCAAGGGUGUUCUGACUCAGUUAACUUGGUAGCUGGAUCAACAUCAAAAGGGUAUUUAUUUCAGUGCAGAAGGGAAAUGGCUACAGUUCUGACAAGAUGCCUUUUUCCAGCUUCUAAAAGUGGACACUAGAGAACUGGCCUUUUGCCAAAAGCUCCCUUGGUGGGAACUUCCGGGCCCACACCAGUCCCCUUGCCCUUGGUGUUUUAUUGAGGGCCCCCUUCCACUGUGGUCACAUGACUCUCUACUGCCCCCUGCAGGAAACCCGUCCUCAUAGGAACCACUAGUUCCUGUGGCUCCAGUCCCCUGGCCAGUCAGACAGGUCUCAGGUCUCAGUCCCUCAGUUUAGAGGACAGGGGCGCUUCCUGGGGCUCAGGUCUGUAGGGUGGGGGCGUCUGAAGGAGGAAACGCUCUGACGCUGUGGGCUCCUGGGUCUGGUGUGAGCCUGGGUCUCCCGGGCAAUGGAUUUCCUUCAAGACUCCCGCCUCUGAGAGCGUGUGAGGGUCUGUUUCUUUAAGUCUUUGACCUGAUGGAACAAGAAGGGCUGUAAACCUCACGUGGCUUCUAUCAGGAGGGGAGACGCACGUUUCCAAGAGUCAACAUCCCUCUUCAAGGGACAUGCAGACCCCACUCAUAUUUAAGAAAAGGGAGUUCCUGUGGUGGCGCAAUGGAAAUGAACUCAACUAGGAACAAUGGGGUUUUGGGUUUGAUCCCUGGCCUCACUCAGGUUAAGGAUC